rnacentral:rRNA from 1 species
UACGUAGGCAGCAAGCGUUUGUUCGGAAUUACUGGGCGUAAAGAGUGUGUAGGCGGUGUUCUAAGUCUGUUGUGAAAUCUCCCGGCUUAACUGGGAGGGUGCGGCGGAAACUGGAAUGCUAGAGGAUGGGAGAGGUAAGCGGAAUUCCUGGUGUAGCGGUGAAAUGCGUAGAUAUCAGGAGGAACACCUGUGGUGUAGACAGCUUACUGGACCAUUUCUGACGCUGAGACACGAAAGCGUGGGUAGCAAACAGG